rnacentral:rRNA from 1 species
AUUGAACGCUGGCGGCAGGCCUAACACAUGCAAGUCGAGCGGAGCGGCGGACGGGUGAGUAAUGCCUAGGAAUCUGCCUGGUAGUGGGGGAUACCGUCCGGAAACGGGCGCUACUACCGCAUACUCUCAGAUGAGCCUAGGUCGGAUUAGCUAGUUGGAGGGGUAAAGGCCUACAAAGGCGACGAUCCGUAACUGGUCUGAGAGGAUGAGCAGUAAAAGUGGAACUGAGACACGGGCCAGACUCCUACGGGAGGCAGCAGUGGGGAAUAGUGGACAAUGGGCGAAAGCCUGAUCCAGCCAUGCCGCGUGUGUGAAGAAGGUCUUCGGAGUGUAAAGCACUGUAAGUUGGGAGGCGUUACCAACAGAAUAAGCACCGGCUAACUUCGUGCCAGCAGCCGCGGUAAUUC